rnacentral:lncRNA from 1 species
GCAGGGAAGAGGAUUUGGAAUUUAUUAGGGUCACAAGCACCCCUGCCUUCCAUAUUCAGCAUGCCUGAGCCACACACUGCCAUCUCUUUUGUAGCCUGGGAACUUAGCGUCCUCAUCAGCAGGAGGCCAGGCAGUGGUGGGGGAGUGAGCAGAGUCCGGCUUCCAGCAGGCGGUUACAUGAAAAGACCUCCUGAGAGGGGUUGAAGCAUCGGGACAGGUGCAUGGGUGGGGAUGUAGGCACCCACUUCUGUCCCUGGUCUAAAGAAGGGAUCUCUCUGCCCUUCAGGCUGCAGGGUCCCCUCACUUUCUCACACAGCCCGGGUUCUGUUUUCCGGUCCUCCUCCCCAUGAAGGCCUCAUACCACUGACUUCCACGGAGGCCCCUGUGAUGUAUCCACUGUCUUCUGAUGCCAGGAACGCAACCACAUCUGCUACAUCUAUGGGGAUGGUGGGGGAAGGGCAGUCUCACUUCCUUAGAUCCAGACUGGCUAUAUCCCCACUCCCCUCAAAAAAAACCCCAACCCCUAAACCUACACCAAUCAUUAAUCCCUGUGCGACCUUUUCAAGACUAUUACAGAUUUAAGGCUCUGUUCAAGCCCCCUCAGAUCCUUCUCCCAAUCCAUGCUCACCCUCAGGGUCCCCCAUGUGUCCCAACGGAAUCAUUGCAGUUACCUGUAAAGAAACACGUGGGUAAAACUUUCUUUUAUGGACUCCCUCCCACCCCUUACUUUUUCA